CCCUGGGCUGGGGAGAUGGCUCGGAGGUUAAGAGCACUGGAUGCUUUUCCAGAGGACCCAAGUUUGAUUUCGAGGACCUUCACGGCCGA
rnacentral:miRNA from 14 species